GAGGUGAGCCAGACCUACACUCUGAAGCUCUGCAAAAGUAGCCCUGUAGGAGGCAUAGCUGCUGGGGCCCCUGACUACUGAUGGUCUACAUUUGCAAGUGGGGCUCCAGGGGGUUCCUUGCCUGGCAAAGAACUGGUGGCACUGGAUCCCUGCAGGUGCAAAGUGCAGGGAAGGCUGCAGUCCUGGUAGGGCAGUGCAGAGACUCCCAGCCAGGACUGCAAGAACGAGGAUGAGCCCUUGGCAACGGGGGAGGCCCUCCCCACUGCUGAACUGCUCCUGCAGUCCUGACCCAGGGACAGCGCCCAUACUUCCCAGCCGACGAAUGAGGGAGCGGGACUGUAGACGGCUCUCUACAGCCAUGGGACCUGUAGUGGAUUCUGGAUCUCAGUGGA